rnacentral:rRNA from 1 species
AAGCAGGCCUCGAGAGGAGUGCUCACUAGAAUUUUAAAGUCUCUGAAGGGCCGUUGAAGACUACAACGUUGAUAGGCAAGAUGUGGAAGCAUGGUGACAUGUUAAGCUAACUUGUACUAAUUACCCGUGAGGCUUAACCAUACAACGCCAAACGCGUUU